GUUCAGAAUAGAUAGAGAGAGAAGAAACAGAUCGUAUGAUGGAGAAUGGAGAGAUGAGAGCGAUAGAGAGAAGAGAAAGCAGUAGAGCAAAUGAAGCCAAAGGUGUUACGUCGGCACCGAUGUAGCGGCGGUGUUCAGGUUUCAACUUACACAAUGUCAUCGUAUUGGAACGCCAAAGGUAUAUCGUAUUCAACCAGCUUCUUACGCGAAUCUCGGAUCUUCUUCUUCUUACAAAUCGAAGACUUAUAAGGUUCGCCGUAGUAGCUCCGGUAUCGGAGUUAGGGAUUCCGAUGGUAACAAGUUUGUUAUUCUAAAUUCCAUGAAAAUAUGUGGAUAUUGAGAAGAGGAAGUUGGAACACUUGGAAAUGGAAUCGAUGAAGAAAGUGUUUGCAGCGUCAACAUUCAGGGAGGCCAGAUGGCAAAUUAGCAAAAACUCAACUCAAAAACGAUGAAGACUCUUGAUUGUGCAAAAAAGGGUUUUGCUGAAUGUUCGAAUAACACCAUCACCAAUGGAGACCACAUUCUUAUACAACUCCACUGACAAAAGGCUGCUGAAAGAUUUUGGGGGAAUAGAAUUUUGAGUUUAGGGAAGUCAGGACUUGAUUUUUGGUAAUAUUGCUAGAUGUCAAUUUUUUUUUUUUUUUUUU
rnacentral:lncRNA from 1 species